UACGUCUUUUCAUCGCAUGGUGAGAAGAAGAAAAGGAACGGCCUCUACACAAAGCGGUCGCCGAAGGAGGGGUUUUUGCGUCUGAUUAGCUAGUUGGAGGGGUAACGGCCCAACAAGGCGACGAUCAGUAGCCCGGUCUGAGAGGAUGAACGGCCACAUUGGGGACUGAGACACGGCCCAGACUCCUACGGGAGGCAGCAGUGGGGAAUCUUCCGCAAUGGACGAAAGUCUGACGGAGCAACGCCGCGUGAGUGAAGACGGUCUUCGGAUUGUAAAGCUCUGUUAUACGGGACGAACGGCAAGGUGGUAAAUAGCCAUCAUGAGUGACGGUACCGUAAGAGAAAGCCACGGCUAACUACGUGCCAGCAGCCGCGGUAAU
rnacentral:rRNA from 1 species